rnacentral:rRNA from 1 species
UGGUCAAGCUAAUAAGAGCAUAGGGCGAAUGCCUUGGCACCAGAAGCCGAUGAAGGACGGGGUAAGCACCGAUAUGCUUCGGGGAGCUGCAAACAAGCUUUGAUCCGAGGAUCUCCGAAUGGGGAAACCCACCUAGAUUUUCUAGGUAUCAUCUACUGAAUACAUAGGUAGAUGAAGGGAUACCAGGGGAACUGAAACAUCUAAGUACCCUGAGGAAAAGAAAGAAAACUCGAUUUCCUAAGUAGCGGCGAGCGAAAGGGAAACAGCCUAAACCUAUUGAGUUUACUCUUUAGGGGUUGUGGACCAGCAUUUAAUAAGUUCUUCUUGUAACUGAAUGACCUGGAAAGGUCAACCGUAGAAGGUGAUAGUCCUGUAAGUGAAACUAGUUGACUUAUUGCUGGUAUCCGGAGUACCAUGGGGCACGUGAAAUCCUGUGGGAAGCUGGGAGGACCAUCUCCCAAGGCUAAAUACUAACUGGUGACCGAUAGUGAACAAGUACCGUGAGGGAAAGGUGAAAAGAACCCCGGAAGGGGAGUGAAAUAGAAUCUGAAACCCUAUGUUUACAAGCAGUGGAAGCACUUUAUAUGUGCGACCGCGUACUUUUUGUAGAACGGGCCAGCGAGUUACGAUAUAUAGCAAGGUUAAACUUUUUUAAAGUGAAGCCGUAGGGAAACCAAGUCUCAAUAGGGCGUUUAGUUGUAUGUCGUAGACCCGAAACCGGGUGACCUACCCAUGAGCAGAGCGAAACGAAAGUAAAAUUUCGUGGAGGCUCGAACCGUUUAGUGUUGAAAAACUAUCGGAUGACUUGUGGGUAGCGGUGAAAUUCCAAUCGAACCCGGAUAUAGCUGGUUCUCCUCGAAAUAGCUUUAGGGCUAGCCUCAAGAUAGUGACGUGGAGGUAGAGCACUGAAUGGUCUAGGGGCACUUAGUGCUACCAAAACCUAUCAAACUCCGAAUGCCACAGUCAUGUUUCUUGGGAGUCAGACUGCGGGAGAUAAGUUUCGUAGUCGAGAGGGAAAGAGCCCAGACCACCAACUAAGGUCCCUAAAUCCAGAUUAAGUGGGAAAGGAUGUAAAGUUACACAGACAACCAGGAUGUUGGCUUAGAAGCAGCCAUUCAUUUAAAGAGUGCGUAAUAGCUCACUGGUCGAGUGGCUUUGCGCCGAAGAUUUCCGGGGCUAAAAUCUGGUACCGAAGUUGUGGAUUCGUAAGAAUGGUAGAGGAGCAUUCUGUACGGGCUGAAGCUACACCGUAAGGAGUGGUGGACUGUACAGAAGAGAGAAUGCUGGCAUGAGUAGCGAUAAGGCGAGUGAGAAUCUCGCCCGUCGAAAGCCUAAGGUUUCCUGAGGAAGGCUCGUCCUCUCAGGGUUAGUCGGGACCUAAGCCCAGGCCAAAUGGCGUAGGCGAUGGACAACAGGUUGAGAUUCCUGUACUGUUUACAUGCGUUUGAGAGAUGGGGUGACGCAGGAGGAUAGGCUAUGCGUACUGUUGGUUAUGUACGUCCAAUCCUGUAGAGAGCUCCUAUAGGCAAAUCCGUAGGAGAGUCUCAAGAGGUGAUGGGGAGCGAAAAAUAAGUAGUGAAGUAGCUGAAUCCAUACUGCCAAGAAAAGCCUCUAUCGAGUAUGUAAAUACCCGUACCGCAAACCAACACAGGUAGGCGAGGAGAAAAUCCUAAGACGUUCGGAAGAACCCUUGUUAAGGAACUAGGCAAAAUAACCCCGUAACUUCGGGAGAAGGGGUGCCGACUAAGGUGAAGCACUUGCUGCGUAAGCUUUAGUUGGCCGCAGUGAAUAGGCCCAAGCGACUGUUUACCAAAAACAUAGGUCUCUGCUAAGUCGAAAGACGAUGUAUAGGGGCUGACACCUGCCCGGUGCUGGAAGGUUAAGGGGAAGAGUUAGCGUAUGCGAAGCUCAGAACUUAAGCCCCAGUAAACGGCGGCCGUAACUAUAACGGUCCUAAGGUAGCGAAAUUCCUUGUCGGGUAAGUUCCGACCCGCACGAAAGGUGUAACGACUUGGGCACUGUCUCAACAAGGGAUCCGGUGAAAUUGUAGUACUCGUGAAGAUGCGAGUUACCCGCGACAGGACGGAAAGACCCCGUGGAGCUUUACUGUAGGCUGACAUUGGAUUUCGGUAUUGCUUGUACAGCAUAGGUGGGAGACUAAGAUACCAGGGCGCUAGCUUUGGUGGAGUCAUCAUUGGGAUACCACUCUUGCAAUGCUGAAGUUCUAACCAGAGGCUGUGAAUCCAGUCUUGGGACACUGUCAGUCGGGCAGUUUGACUGGGGCGGUCGCCUCCCAAAAAGUAACGGAGGCGCUCAAAGGUUCCCUCAGCACGGUCGGAAAUCGUGCAUAGAGUGCAAAGGCAUAAGGGAGCUUAACUGCGACACCUACAAGUGGAGCAGAAAGGAAACUUGGACUUAGUGAUCCGGUGGCACCGCAUGGAAGGGCCAUCGCUCAACGGAUAAAAGCUACCCCGGGGAUAACAGGCUUAUCUCCCCCAAGAGUCCACAUCGACGGGGAGGUUUGGCACCUCGAUGUCGGCUCGUCUCAUCCUGGGGCUGGAGUAGGUCCCAAGGGUUGGGCUGUUCGCCCAUUAAAGAGGCACGCGAGCUGGGUUCAGAACGUCGUGAGACAGUUCGGUCCCUAUCCGUCGUGGGCGCAGGAAAUUUGAGAAGAGCCAUUCCUAGUACGAGAGGACCGGAAUGGACAGACCGCUGGUGCAUCAGUUGUCUUGCCAAAGGCACAGCUGAGUAGCUAUGUCUGGAAGGGAUAAGUGCUGAAGGCAUCUAAGCACGAAGCCUCCUUCAAGAUGAGAUUUCCCAUCGUAAGAGUAAGACUCCAAGUAGACUACUUGGUUGAUAGGUCCCAGGUGUAAGAGUAGCAAUAUUCUUAGCUAAGGGAUACUAAUAAGUCGAGGGCUUGACCAAUUAUCU